rnacentral:rRNA from 1 species
UACGUAGGGUGCAGGCGUUAAUCGGAAUUACUGGGCGUAAAGCGUGCGCAGGCGGUUUCUUAAGUCAGAUGUGAAAGCCCCGGGCUUAACCUGGGAACUGCGUUUGAAACUGGGAGACUUGAGUGUGGCAGAGGAGACUGGAAUUCCUGGUGUAGCAGUGAAAUGCGUAGAUAUCAGGAGGAACACCGAUGGCGAAGGCAGGUCUCUGGGCUGACACUGACGCUCAUGCACGAAAGCGUGGGGAGCAAACAGG